rnacentral:rRNA from 1 species
UUCGCAAUGCCCGAAAGGGUGACGAAGCGACGCCGCGUGUGGGAAGAAGGCCUUCGGGUUGUAAACCGCUGUUGGGAGUUAGGAAGUGUGGGAGUGUUAAUAGCGCUUCCACUUGACUAAAGCUCCAGAGGAAGCCACGGCUAACUCUGUGCCAGCAGCCGCGGUAAUACAGGGGCGGCAAGCGUUGUUCGGAAUUAUUGGGCGUAAAGAGCACGUAGGCGGCUCUGCAAGUCAGCUGUGAAAGCCUUCUGCUUAACGGAAGAACAGCAGUUGAAACUACAGGGCUUGAGUGCGGGAGGGGAGAGUGGAACUUCUGGUGGAGCGGUGAAAUGCGUAGAUAUCAGAAGGAACGCCGGCGGCGAAAGCGGCUCUCUGGUCCGUAACUGACGCUGAGUGUGCGAAAGCUAGGGGAGCAAACGGGAUUAGAUACCCCGGUAGUCCUAGCCGUAAACGAUGGGCACUAAGUAGAGGGGUUUU